rnacentral:rRNA from 1 species
GAUGAACGCUGGCGGCGUGCCUAAUACAUGCAAGUCGAGCGAACAGACGAGGAGCUUGCUCCUCUGACGUUAGCGGCGGACGGGUGAGUAACACGUGGAUAACCUACCUAUAAGACUGGGAUAACUUCGGGAAACCGGAGCUAAUACCGGAUAAUAUAUUGAACCGCAUGGUUCAAUAGUGAAAGACGGUUUUGCUGUCACUUAUAGAUGGAUCCGCGCCGCAUUAGCUAGUUGGUAAGGUAACGGCUUACCAAGGCAACGAUGCGUAGCCGACCUGAGAGGGUGAUCGGCCACACUGGAACUGAGACACGGUCCAGACUCCUACGGGAGGCAGCAGUAGAGAAUCUUCCGCAAUGGGCGAAAGCCUGACGGAGCAACGCCGCGUGAGUGAUGAAGAUCUUCGGAUCGUAAAACUCUGUUAUUAGGGAAGAACAAAUGUGUAAGUAACUAUGCACGUCUUGACGGUACCUAAUCAGAAAGCCACGGCUAACUACGUG